AGCGAACGCUGGCGGCAGGCCUAACACAUGCAAGUCGAACGAACUCUUCGGAGUUAGUGGCGGAUGGGUGAGUAACACGUGGGAACGUGCCUUUAGGCUCGGAAUAACUCAGUGUAACUUGUGCUAAUACCGAAUGUGCUCUUCGGGGGCAAGAUAUAUCGCCUUUAGAGCGGCCCGCGUCCGAUUAGCUUGUUGGGGAGGUAAAGGCCCACCACGGCGUCGAUCAGUAGCUGGUUUGAGAGGAUGGUCAGCCACUUUGGGGCUGAGACACGGCCGGAACUCCUACGGGAUGCAGCAGUGGGGAAUCUAGCGCAACGGGCUAAGGCCUGACGCAGCCAUGCCGCGUGAAUGAUGUAGGUCGGAGGAUAGUAAAAUACUUUCACCGGGGACGGUAAUGACGGUACCCGAAGAAGAAGCCCCGGCUAACUUCGUG
rnacentral:rRNA from 1 species